GAGGGCAUUGAGGAUACUGAUGGCCCCAGCAGGAUCUGCACUGAGACCUUAAGCUCCUUUUCUAAUGGAAGCUAUGUCGGGCAGUUCUCCAGGGAGGCAGGCGCCAGCCCGGAGGAUCUGCCUACCUGGGCGUUUCCUGUCUCACAUCAGCUCACCCAGACCUCCUCCAGGAAAGGACCCCUGAUCUCUCCAGGAUCACAUCCUCUCCACUGACCUCUGAACAGCAGUGGUCAUUGCUCCCAUUUGGGGCGUGUCUGCUUUUACACAUUUCAUCUCGCAUGACCCCUGAGCAAUAGAGGACGCCACCAUCCCCACGUGACAGAGGGAAGACAGAGGUUCAGAGAGUCUCACCAACAUACUGCAGCCACAACCUUGGUUAAUGAAAUAACCAGCACUUGAAUCCAAGACUGACAAUUGACUUCUAAACCUUUGCUCCACAACAAGGCCUGCAAACUAUGGCCAAACUCCUGCCCCUGUCUGUUUUUGUGCAGCCUAAGAACCAUGUGGUUUUUACAUGAUGGUGUGUGGGGAGGGGUAAAUGAAGCAUAAAACUUUGGCAUAUACAAAAAUUAUACGAAAUUAAAAGUUCAGUGUCCAUAA